rnacentral:tRNA from 1 species
UCUCUGGUAGUAUAUCGGUUAGUACACGCGCCUGUCAUACACCUUGACCGCGCGAAAGCGGGGUUCGACUCCCCGCCAGAGAG